AUGAUACGCGAGGAACCGUUACCUGGGCUCGAACGUAAGAUGACUGUAGGUGAAGGCUUACAUCUCUUCGGAGCAUUUUACGAGGUGCUGCAUGGUUGUCGUCAGCUCGUGCCGUGAGGUGUCGGGUUAAGUCCCAUAACGAGCGCAACCCCUACCUUUAGUUGCCAUCAGGUUAAGCUGGGGACUCUAAAGGAACUGCCUACGCAAGUAGUGAGGAAGGCGGGGAUGACGUCAAAUCAGCACGGCCCUUACGUCCAGGGCUACACACGUGCUACAAUGGCCGAUACAGAGGGCAGCUACCUGGUGACAGGAUGCAAAUCUCCAAAGUCGGUCUCAGUUCGGAUCGGAGUCUGCAACCCGACUCCGUGUAGCUGGAAUCGCUAGUAAUCGCGCAUCAGCCAUGGCGCGGUGAAUACGUUCCCGGGCCUU
rnacentral:rRNA from 1 species